GUCGUUUCCAACAUCGUUACUUACAUCAACUAUGGAGAUCAAAGUCAAAGUAGAGAAGUAAGUGACAUCCUGAAAUCUCUUAUUAUUCCGGCCA
rnacentral:misc_RNA from 1 species